AAGAAUGCUAUUGAAAAAAAACUGUGCUCGGACAAUUUUUCUUUUGCUUCUUACUACGAAAGAUGGCUGAAAGGAUGUAUACUUCAAAGAGCUCUUUAUAAUCCUGGUGAAAAGAGAAGGUAAUCAGACUAAAUAUAUGCCUAUUUAAACAAAAUGUAUGUCUAUUGUAAAAAUAUACAUCUAUUGUAAACAAAAAGCACAUGGCUGACUAAAGGCUCUCUUCUCUAGGUGUUUACCUAAAGGAACAACAUCUCAGAUCUCACCAGUCAGACAGGACUUGAUGCUUGCAGGCCCCCUCCAGAAUGUGUUCCACUCACCUUUCUGCCUUCCUGUCUCUCCCUCUCUUCCAGCGUAUCACUCUGUUGGAAAUAUGUAAAAUACUGAUGGUGGAAAAGAUGAAUUUACCUGUCAGGAGCUUCAGAAUUUACAAAAGCAUGGCUACCUGAUGUUGGAUCUAAAUGGAAACUUCUACAUAUAUAGUUUUCCCAGCAGGCCUUUUUGAACCAUUCCCUCUGUUUUGUACGAAAUAAAAUUUAUUCAUUGUUUCUGCAAUUAUAGAGCCCCUGCUUUGUUCAGCUCAUGGUAGGCCCUGGUGAUUAUGACAGACAAGAGUACAAAAUCUCACUGGUCUCAUAUUCUAACGAGAAAGACACAGGUAUGC